CCAGACAACGGAGGCAUUUCUACAGCAAAGAAUAAUGAGCACAUCAAGAAGGUAAUUUCUGCCCCAGUCCAGGUGGCCUUCGAUGCGGGGGACAGACAGCAGGAGCCAUGUUGGUAUUAACUUCAUAAGAGUAGGUGUUCUUCUAAAAUCUGAAAUAUCAUUCACUCCAGAAAUUCAACACCAGUGAUGUCACAACAUGGAAUGCAAAUCUGAGUUCGUGGACAUCAGCCCCCAAGACCAUGGCCCUAUCAAUACAGGUCAUGUCAGGGAGACUUUGGCUGAAGAAAAUCACAACAGAUGAGAGAUAAUGCAAGAGAAAAAUAAAACCAUUCCAUGAGGAUAUCAUUCUGGAACUUCCUAUUACCAGGGAGUGAGAUCAGGAUGCUUGGGGCAAGGUACAUUUGGGUAAAGCUUUGGAUUCUUAGAACUUCCACUGAGCACUGUGGGACAAAAGACUAGCAGGGGUUUCUAAUUAGAAGAGUUUUGCAGCAUGUGCUAAAGCUUACUUUCUUUAGAGUGUAUGGCGUUAUGCCCACAGAUAGAUGUCCCAGUUUUAAGUUGUGGGUGAUUUUUAUGCAAGUCUGUUUUAUAGAAUUAGUCUUCUAAGGUGUUUACACGGGCCAGGUAAAAUCUCGAUCGUCAAGAGAAGAUAGGUAUACAUGUACACACUGCAAAAUAAUUUGUCUCAAAGGUUGCUAACCCACAAAAUUC